AGAGUUUGAUCCUGGCUCAGGAUGAACGCUGGCGGCGUGCCUAAUACAUGCAAGUCGAACGAACAAGAUUAGCUAAGCUUGCUUAGCAAAUUGCGUUAGUGGCGAACGGGUGAGUAAUACAUAAAUAACCUGCCCCUAUGUUUGGAAUAACAGUUGGAAACGACUGCUAAUGCCAGAUACGUUAUCAAGUGGCAUCACAUGAUAAUAAAAGAUCCUACUGGGAUCGCAAAGGGAUGGAUUUAUGGCGCAUUAGUUAGUUGGUGAGGUAACGGCUCACCAAGACGAUGAUGCGUAGCCGGCCUGAGAGGGUGACCGGCCACACUGGGACUGAGACACGGCCCAGACUCCUACGGGAGGCAGCAGUAGGGAAUUUUCGGCAAUGGGGGAAACCCUGACCGAGCGACGCCGCGUGAGUGAAGACGGCCUUCGGGUUGUAAAGCUCUGUUGUAAGGGAAGAACCGUAGUGAUAGGAAAUGAUCACUACCUGACGGUACCUUACCUAGAAAGCCACGGCUAACUACGUGCCAGCAGCCGCGGUAAUACGUAGGUGGCGAGCGUUAUCCGGAAUUAUUGGGCGUAAAAGGGAGCGCAGGCGGUUUAUUUAAGUCUGAGGUUAAAGUUCCGGGGCUCACCCCCGUGAUGCCUUAAAAACUGGUAAACUAGAGUGCAGGAAAAGGUAGUGGGAUUUCCUUGUGUAGCCGGUAAAAGGCCUAAAUAUAUGGAAGGAACACCCGUGGCCAAAAGGCGGCUAACUGGGCCUGGACCUGACCCCUGAGGCCCCAAAAGCCGGGGGGAACAAAAGG
rnacentral:rRNA from 1 species